rnacentral:lncRNA from 1 species
UUCUCCAUGCAAGCAAAUGUGAGAGACUUCACGUUACCUAUUGAGGAUUAUCCACUUUUUGUGUGAGAAAUUUACACUUGAUGGUGCAUAGAAAUUAGCUAUUCAUAAACAAAAAUGAGAGAGAGCUUGAUUCAGAUGGCUUCGUAUGAAACAAAAUGACUUUUAAAUUAAUUUGUUAACAUUUCAAAAUUAACACUAAGUUAAACCUCAUCUCUUCUUGUUCCUUCUUGUGCUGUUUCUUUUGAAUAUUGCAACGCCAGAUAUUGUGUUUGAUUUUCUGCAUCGCUUCCCACAUAUGGCUACUAAAACGGAUGAUGUUCUGAAGUCGAAUGCUUUGAUUCGUUUGUCUACCUCGCCUCAAAUAUUUCCAAGCGCAAGUCAACCUGCGUUUUGGCAGCAAUUCAUCUGUUCAUGUUAGUAUCUUUUUCUUCAAUUUUAACUCCUCGCUUUUCUCUUCAUUUCCUCUCAGAAAUCUAUUUAACGUCCGUAUAAUAUUUUAUGUUUUUCUUAGAAGCUAUCUCGCAGCAAUUUAUAUACAUUCAAGAAAGAAAGAAAAACAGAGAAAGAAAGAAAGUAAACACAUGCAUCCAUGCACAUGGGUUCUUUGUUUUUUAAAACUUUUGAUUCAUAUAGUUAAAAAUAUAUUUAGUUAAAAAAAAAUUAUUUAAAUCAAAAAUUGGUUAUAAAACUGAGUCAAAACUUCGAUGUGAUCAAAAGUUUGGAAUUUUAACUUGUGAAUUUCAACUUAUGCUAAAUUUAUUCUUCGAGGGAAUUACUUUUAAGUUAUUUUCAUCAAGAUAAAAAAUAAUAAAAAGUUAUUUCUAAUAAAAAAAAAAUAACUAUUACUUAUCAUGACAGCUGCCAAUCUCAACUGUUUUUUAUAAAUUGUGAUUUAAAAAUAAUAAAUAUUUUUUUUAUAAGUCGUAUUAUUAAAACUGACUUAAUUCUAAGAACAUGACAGGUAUUUGGUCAAAACCAAUUGUGGCAACUAAUGGUACGGUUCGUAUCUAUGUGCCUGCUCAGAGAUUAAGAGUAUGUUUGGUAUUGCGGUAGCUAUUGUGGUUGUGGUUUAAAAAAAGUUAUUUUAUAAAAAGUACUUUUAGUUGAGGUUGGUUUGAAAAAAUAGGUGUUUGGUUAAAACUGUAGUUGAAAUUGAAGUUGAAUAAAAAGUAGUUUAAUAUGUUUGGUUAAGAGUGCUUUUGAAAUUGAGGUUAUAAAAUAAUUUUAAAAAUAUAUAUUAAUACUGAUGGUUUUUAAUUUAAAUGUUAUGGAUUUAACUAUUGCUAUUACUUCAAAAAAUAAAUAAUACUUUAUAUAAAAUUAGAUAAAAUAUUAUCAGGAAUAAAAUUGAUUUGAUAUUACAGUGCAAGUGAAUUUAAUUCACUCUACACUAGUUUUUCGAGAAAAAAAAUAUUGUUUACAUGACAAUAUGAGUAAAUUUAAUUCACUAUAAACUAAUUUUUUUUAAAAAAAUAUAUAUAUACAAAAAAUAAGCACACUUAAAAUAUAAAAAAAAAAGGUCACGUGAACAGUGCAAGUGAAUUGCACUGUGCACGUAAAUUAAAUUUCGAGAAGCAGCCAGGAGCUGCUUCUCAAAAUUUGCGUGCAGAACGCGAAAUUACACGGGGCCCACCAACAAUUUUUUGCGUUUUUAAUAUAACCAAACGGAUUGUUUGCUGUGGUUGCUUCAAACGCAGAAGCAACCACGCAAACAACCGGGCUCUAAGGGAGUCGAAGAACAUUGUCCUUCAAGGUAUAUGCACAGAUCUGUGUGUUUUUGUCUACUCUCCUGUGAACAGAACUGUGUCUUUUUGUUAUUGGAGCAAUUAUCAUGACUGUUGUAACCCAUUUUCGGGUCCCCACAAAAAUAAAUAAAAUAAAUAGCCAAAGGAGGUUAGAAAAAUAACGGAAGGCAGAAGCACUCAGAAGAUGGUCAGAAAAUUGGUCAAGGAGUAUAAAAAUACAAAGAUUUGAUUUUUGACAGUAUAUUCUUGAAGGAUGAGGACCUGUUCAGAAGGAAACUUUAAAUUUUGAGGAGAAAAGCCCAAAUUUGGAUGUUUAUGGACUUAAUCGGAUUUUUAAUUGGAUUUAUAGAGGAUUUGAUUGCAAGGAAAAUUGAUUUUUAAGUCAAUUUGGGCUUUAAUUAGAAGAAAUUUAAGUUCUGGGGCCAAAAUAUAUUUUUUAGGAUUUUAUUGGGUCAAAUCAGGGGCUUAAUUGCAUAAAUAUUGAAGUUUAAUGGCUAAUUAGGGGCUUAAUUGUGAAAAUCCCAAACCAGGGACCAAUUUGGAAAAGGCGCGAAGAUAGAGGGGCUGUAUUGGAUUGAUCCGGGGUCAAAUUGAAGAAAUUGAAAACUGGAGGACUAAUUUAAAAAAUCAACAGCGCCUGUUACUGUUCACUUUCUUCCUAAAAAGCUGACUGAGUGGCUACUUUCCAGACGCAUUUUCCGGCUCGUGUGGCCUCCAAAUACGACAAAACUUGCACCAGCAUGUCCACAUGAAACCCCUUUAUCCCGGAGAAUGGUCAGGUCGAGUCGGAAAAGUUAGAAACGGCUCCGUUGAGUGGCUCAAAGUGGCCACCUCGGGCAGUUCACAGCCUGGAGCUGCCAAAUUUGGCAGCUCGAGGUGUACACUUUGAGCCAACGGUUGAGAUGCUUCCCAACUGAAUCAAGGGCUGAAAUGUUUCCUCAAUGUAGACAAGAUUGCCCUCUUCCACAGCCUAUAAAUAGAGUCGGAUUUGAUGAUCUGAGGGAGGACAUAUUCGGGUCCCAAGUCAGCCAAAAACCAGCAUUUUCGCCCAAUUUCUGCAGAUUUUUUUCUUCUUCUUCUUUCUUCCUCAGCAACAGGAAACCGACGCCGUCCUCCUCCAACUCCACCGCUGAAACCACCGGCUGAACCACCUCAUCACAGCAGCCACAACCCCUUCGGCCAAUUGAGCCCCUCUUCCUUUCCUCCUCCUUCCUUUUCCUUUCCUCCUUUUCUUCUUCUUCCUCCUUAUCUACUGUUCACGGCAUGAACAGUAGGCAUGAAAUAUAAUUCACGUCCUACUGUUCAUGCAGGACGUGAAUUAUAUAUAUAUACACGUGUGUGUGUAUUAUAAUUUUAUAAAAUAAAAAUAAAAACUUUUUUUCCAAAAAUCAUUUUUAAAAAAAUGUGAUUUUCUCGCAUCUUUUUCUACCAAUUUUUGCAGGAUAUUGGUUUGUAUGUUUAUAUUGUAAAGAUACAAAUUCAGUAUUAAAAUACCCGGUUUCGUCAAAAAAAAAUGUUUACAAAAAAAAAAAUGUUUUCUUGCGUGUUGCAUACGACCAAUACUCUAACAUGUUUUGAAUGUUCUUUUUAUAUAUAAAAAAAUAUUGGAAGCUUUGAAAGUGUGUUUUCGCAUAGAUUUCUUAAACACAAAUUAUUUUCUUGCAUUUCUGGAUUUUACAACAUGUUUGUAAAACUCCAAAAGGUAUUGGCCAAUAUUCCAAAAACUAUAAAAAUCUUAUUUUGGGGGGGGGGGAAUUCAUCUAUUAUUCACCGCUAAUGUUUGGAUAAAGAAAUCCUUAAAGGAUGAAUAUCCAAAAUAUUAUUGGGAGUAAUAAAUCCGCACACAUCCUUGAAAGAAGCCUUGAUUAUAAUCGAGGACAUUUCAAAACUUCAAUUUUUUUUACUCCACGAUUUACGAGCCAUGAAAGUAUGAAAUACUAAGGCAAAAGGAGGCUUUUAAAGCGCUUUGAAUUUCCUUAGAUUUCUAAAAAUUUUUGUCCCUCCUUCUUGCGAUUUACGAGUCGCAAACUCUUGAAAUACUAAGGGAAAAAUGAGCUUUCAAAGCACAUGGAAUUUCCUUGGAUUUCUAUCCAAAUAAAUUUUAUUUGAAUCAAACCUAGGAAAAUUGAUGGGAUUAGAAAAUACCAACACCAUAGCAAUUAUAGAGCAAACCAAACACCAAGCAGCUUACCUUAGGUAGGGCGUACUAGGGGUGUUAAUACCUUCCCUUUACGCAACCAGUCCCUUGCCUUAGAAUCUCUGAAAGACCAGUUAGGGUUCCUAGUUGUCGCACGUGUGCGGCGUCGCGACGAACAAAUUAUAUAGUUUUUUUCCAUUUUUUAAAUCUGCAAUGUAAACAUAUCUAUAUCUAUGGGGAUACAAGAAAAUAUUGUCUUUUAUUGGUAGAAAAUAGAAUGGGAGUCGCCACCUAGUAUUUUGGUCACUAGGAACCCUAACUGGUCUUAAAACUUGGAUACGGGGACUGGUUGCGUAAAGGGAAGGUAUUAGCACCCCAAAUACGCCUUACCUAAGGUAAGCUGUAUUGUUUUAUUGUCUGAUAAAAAUAAGGUGUUAUUGUAUUUCUAGUUGUUAGUCUGUCUAUGGUUCAAGAAAAAUCUUCCUCGGUAAGAAGGUCUUUUAUCUUAUCUGGUAAAAAUCCUAACCGUUAUAACGUCCAUACCAAAAGUUUACUAAUAAUAUUUAGGAAUACGUUUUACGUAUAAAUUCGUAAUCCCGAAUAUCAAAAGAAAACAAAAAAAGAUUUUUUUAGAAUUUUUGAAAUAUUGGCCUAGUUCUCAUGGCUUGAAUAAACUGGUUACUAAAGCCAAAAUGCAUGCUAAUACAUAUAUUGUUUUGAAAAUUUUCUUUGUUGUGUGAAAAUAUGAUGUUAUAAUAUUUAUAUAUAUAUAUAUUGGAGAGACUAGGCCGUAUUUUAAAACAAAACUUUUUUGGAAAAUAUUUUUUAUGUUUUGACGAAAAUCGGGUAUUUUAAUACUGGUUUGUAUCCUUACGGUAUAAAAAUACAACCCAAUAUUAAUCCACUUUGAAAAAAUAUGCAGAAAAAUCAACAACUUUUUAGGACUUUUUAGAAUUUUUUUGAAAGCAAAAACAUUUUUUAUUCUGAAAAUCUUUGAUAUUUUGACGAAAACCGGGUAUUUUUAACACUGGUUUUGUAUCUUUACGGUAUAAAAAUACAAACCAACAUUAAACACUUUUGACCAAAAUAUGCAGGAAAAUCAACAAUAUUUUUAAAGAUUUUUCAGAAUAUUUUUUUUAUUUUACAAUAUAUAUAUACACAUAUAUAUCAUAUAAUAUAUAAUAUAAUAUAUUAAGUGGGCGGGCCGGCCCAAAUAAAUGGGCCGGACAGCCCAGAAAACAAAAAAACGUUGGGCCGACCUCGGCCCACAGUAAACUGGGCCGAUCUCGGCCCAACUAAAAAUUACUCCUCGGUCUGGGCCCGACCGGCCCAGAUCACAGGGCUGGGCCAGACCCAUUCUGGCCCACCCAAAGAAAACCUCUGGGCCAGAACCCGUCUGGCCCAGAGAAGGAAAAACAACGCUGGGCCAGCAUCAACCUGGCCCAGCAAACACGAACGGGGGGAGGGAAUUAUUUUCCCUCCCCACCUCCUGCAUGCAGAAACGAUUCUGCAUGCAGGAGGAAAAUUAUGCUAAUUUAAGGGAACAAAAAUGCAGGGGGAAGAGGCGUACCUGGUGAGGCUACGGUGACGUGGCUCAACGAACGGUGGCUGCGGGCGGUGCUACGACUGUUCGAACGGCGGAGGGUGCGGUUGUUGCCAACGGUUCGUCGUCGUUUCCCCCGGUUUGCUGCUUCGGUUUCGGUUUCUUCAGUUCCCUCCUGGUGUCAGCUUUCCCAAGCUUCUCAACUUUGGGUUCUUUUGUUUCUGUUUUUUUUUUUAAGUGGUUUCUCUCUCCUUCGGUUUCUCUCUCUCUCUUCUUUUGUCUCGGUUUUUUCUUUUUUUCUCCUCUGCUUCCCUUCUCUUUUUUCGUCCCUGUUUUCUUCGGGUCACCUGCUUUUAUAGGGGGAGAAGGAGCCUUGGGGCGAACCAAGGUGGAGGCUGGUCGGCCAUGGGGCGCGACUGUCAAGGUGUGUGGGCUUCGGUCCCGGUGUGGUGCGCGGCGGGUGGUCGGCCAAUGUCUUCAACGGCGUGUGGGCUUCGGUCCGGUCGGUAGGAGAGGGGGACAAGUGCCAUUUAAAUAAGCUUUCUUUUUCCUUCUUUUCUGCUGCCUGUUCGGGGGGGAGGGAAGAAGAAAGGUGAACAGUGCCGUUCAAAACGGCACCGUUCGGUCCUCUUUUUUUUUUUUUAUGUAUGAAACGGCGUCGUUUUGGAGAAAACGCGCCGUUUCAUUUAAAAAAAAGGCGCCAGAAAUAUGUUUUUUCAAAUCAGUCCCUAAUUUAUCCUUUGUUCUAUUAAGUCCUCAAAUCUGAUCCUGAUUUUAAGAAUAAAAUUCAAUUGCACCCCCGCUAAUUUCGGCCUCCACCCCUCAAGUUGGCCGCGUUUUCCAUUCUAAUCCUUGGCCUCUGUUUUGUUCAAUUACGCCCUCAAUUGAUUAAUAAACUUCCAAUUUCUUCAAUUAGGCCCCUGGACCGAAUAAUUUCAGCCCCUCCAUUUACGCGCCUCUUCCAAUUUGGUCCCUGGUUUCGGAUUUUCUUAAUUAAGUCCCUAAUUGGCCAUUAAACUUCAAUAUUUAUGCAAUUAAGCCCCUGAUUUGGCCUAAUAAAUUCCAAAAAAAUAUAUUUUGGCCCCAAAACUUAAAUUUCUUCUAAUUAAAACCCAAAUUGACUUAAAAAUCAAUUUUUCUUGCAAUCAAAACCCCUAUAAAAUCCAUUAAAAAUCCAAUUAAGUCUAUAAACAUCCAAAUUUGGGCUUUUCUCCUCAAAAAUUCAAAAUUUCUUAUCCAUCAGAGCUCUCAUCAUCCAAGAAUAUACUGUAAAAAAUCCAAUCUUGGUAUUUUUUAACCUCCUUGACCAAAUCUUCCAACCAUUUUCCGAGCGCUCCUGCCUCCUGUUAUUUUUCUAACCUUCUUUGGCUAUUUAUUUAUUUUUUUGUGGGGACCUGAAAGUGGAUUACAACACUAGUGACCAAAAUACUAGGUGGCGACUCCAAAGAACCAAAUCAGCAAAACACAACGAAAAAUCGACAUCCGAUGCCGCAUUUGAUUUUUUAGGGUGCGACAAUGACAAUGAUAAUUUAAUACAUAUAAAUUUGAUUAUCAUACAUACAUUUUAAUUGUGAUAAUUUUUCUGUUUUUUUUUUUCCCUAACUUUUCAGUGUUAAGUCAAUUGCGUGUGUUUGCAAAAAAUCUCUUCACAUUCUUAGGUAAGCGAUAUAUAUAUAUCCACUCAUCUUUAUCCCACUUCUCUUAAUUUCUAUCACCAUUUUCAUGGUUUUAUUUGAUCACUAUUUAAUUAUUUAUCUAGGAAUCAAGCAGAUUUAUGAUUUAAAGAAGAUCCACAUUUAUUCGGAUAAAAUCCUAUGGUGUAUGUGCGAGCAUAUAUCUUCUCUGGAUUACGAGGAACAGCUCAAGGCAGCUGUACAUCCAGCAUUCCACAGUGCAGUAAAGAAUGGCACGGUUGAGUUUAUUAUGGAGAUGAUCAAAGCUUUUACAGUUUUUAUAGUAUCGGAUGCAAUCUCUCUCUUUUCUUCAUCAACAUCAGUGUUGAUGUUCUUAGGAAUUCUUACGUCGCGAUACGCAGAGGAAGAUUUCCUUAAAUCCUUGCCCACCAAGUUAAUCAUCGGCCUUUCCACGCUUUUCUUCUCCAUUGCAACCAUGAUGGUAACCUUCUGUGCUGCUCUUAUGAUUAUUGUGGAUGGGAAAUUGCAAAUUAUAAUUCCGAUUGUCUUGGUCGCAUGUAUCCCUGUAACUUUUUUCAUGAUGUUGCAAUUUCCCCUCCUAGUGGAGAUUUUUGUAUCCACAUAUGGUCCGGGAAUCUUCAACAAAAAAUUGAAACGUUGGUACUAAUUAAUCAAAUGUAUGUAAUUCUUCGUGUAAGAUUUAGAUCCUUUUAUCUCUUGUGCUUUCAAAAAAUUUAAAAGUUUUUUUUUAUUAAAAUUUAAUACGGUUUGUACUUUUUGAAUCGUUUUGAUGUGCUGAUGUCAAAAAUAAUUUUUUAAAAAUAAAAAAAUAUUAUUAAUAUAUAUUUCAGUACGAAAAGUUAUUUGAAAACAACUUCUACUACACUACUAAACACACUCUGAGAAACACUUGCUCCAAAUUAAAAUAAGGAGUUAUCCAAUUUUAAAAAUAUUAAUUUUUAUUAUACAAGAAAUACAUAUAUGACAUCGUGAAUUUUAUUUUUUUUAAUAAAUCGUUAUCUAGUAUUAUAUUGCCUAGUACUAUUAAUCAAUAAAAAAUUUAUAAUAAAAUUGAUUAUACACAAAUAAAAAUAUUAUAACGCCUUAAAUAUUUUACCUAAAGUCUAGGAGGCAAUUUGAAAACUUCUUAAUAUUUGGUGGGUCAUGGCCACCUCUGGCCAUAGCCGCUAAACCUCGUCUAGUGGGAUGAAUCAGGAAAUCCAGAACUCAAAACCUUAUCAUGACUAAUUUUCUAGUUACUCAAUCAUGUUUUUAGUUAUUUGGUUAAUCCAAUUAAAAUUUGAGUUGAUGAAUAGCAAAAAGAUUUUUUUAAAAAAUAUAUAAUUACUAUAAAAAAAAAGAAAAAGAAUUCACUUUUAGUGAUCUAAUAACUUUUUCAUGCCAAUUAUCGGGUUGAGUCUCUCAAAUGUAACCUGGCACCGCACUAAAUUCAACCCUAGAUUAGGGUCAUGUACGGUUUAAAAGGGUGGCGAUAGACACAACUACCCCCAACAUGCAAGUCAACUCUUCUUGCAUCUUGACGUGGGUUCUCCUCUAAAGACAGUUUUUUUUUUUUUUUUUUUGUUAAUCUUACGAAUCAAGAAAAUUGCCCCAGUAAAUAAAACCCCUGACUAAUAAAAAAAAACAAAUGACCCCCCCGAAAAAAAGAACAAACCAAGAUGGUUGCUCAGCACUUUCUUAUGCUGCUAUGCAAGGAAUCACAAAGAUGGCCAAAUGCAUGAUUAUAAAGAACAAAAAAUUGGUUAACCUUCCGAAUGGAGGAGGAUGUAUCCCAGUUGUGGUGUCUUGUUUGGGAAAUCAUAAGGAUAUGACCUGUCACUCCAGCUGAACUGCUAUAUGAGGACUACGGUAACCAUGGAUCAUUGCUCCUCCAAUUCUCCAUAGCAUCCGAAAUGUUUGGUAAGAGACAUACUCAUGCAAGCACAAUGAAUUAGCCCCAACAUUCUUGUUGAUACUUGUUUGUUGCUUUUGAAAUGCUAAAAUACCAGAUAUUGCUUUGGAUCUGCUUCAACUUUUCCCUAGUUUGGCUACCGCGUUGGAUAAAAUUUGGAAGCUUAAUGCUGUGACGCAAUUGUCUUUCUUGCCCGAUAGAUUCCAUAGUGGAAGUCGACUUGCAUUUUGGCAACGUUGGAUCUAUUCCAGUUAGUACUACUUUCUCUGAUUUUCAUCCUCAGAGCCUCUUCCUCCGCACUAGUCGCACGUUUGAAAAUUCAGGAGGAAUUUGUUGUUUGUGGAGUACUUAUGGAGAUGGAAUUUGCAUCAUUUUUGGAUAAUUAUAUAAUAAGUUCAUUUUAAUAUAUAUAUAUAUAAAUAUAUAAUAAGUUCACAACUCAUGAAAGCUUUUUCAUUGAAAGGUAUACACAUUGGUCCACCCAUUCCCUUCAGUGAUCAAAUGCUACAAGGUACAAUUAAUCUCUUCAUCAUUAUUUGAUACUAAUGCAAGACUAAUUUUUGUUUUGAUUACUAUAGAGGCUAUUUGAUGCAAGAUUAAUUUUUCUUUUGCAGCUUCGAAUAGACCGGGGAAAGAAGUUAUAAAGCUCCUCAAAUUCCUAGGUAUUUUAUAUGUGGCUAUAUACAUAACCGGAUGAUUUUGUUGUUAUCAUCACUAGUAUCAUGUUAUUAAUCUGAUAAUUCUUUCCUCACCCAGGCAUAAAGCAAAUAUAUGAUGUGAAGCUGAAUCAUAUCUACUCUGAUGAACUUCUACGUCGAAUGGUUAAACAUAUAUCAACAUUGGAUUUCGAAAAAUACGAUGAAUGCGGGUUAUUCAGAGCAUUUAACAACGCUAUUAAAAAUGGUAUAGUUGAGAUGAUUGUCGAGAUGGUUAAAGUUUGUCCUAAUCUAAUGCACACUCUCGACAAGAAUGGCAGAGUUAUCUUUAUGUCUUCACUUGCACACAGACAAGAGAAGAUUUUUAGCCUUUUUUAUGAGGUUGAAGGAAGGAACGGAGAUUUCCUUUCUGUGACAGAUUUUUUUGAUAAUACUAUGUUACACUGCGCAGGAGAGUUGUCACCUUCUACUCAGCUGGCUCGAAUCUCAGGUGCAGCUCUUCAAAUGCAGAGAGAACUACAAUGGUACAGAGUAAGUUUCUCAAGCAUCAACUUUUUGUUACGCUAAUCUGACUGAUAUGGGGUUUAUAGUCGCUCUGCCUGAAUCUUUCUUAUGAACUGGUCAAUACUAGCUAGAACAUUAUUUAUCAUUAUUUCAUAGCUCAAUGGUUUGGAUUCAAUAUUGUAGGAGGUGGAAAGCAUUGUGAAUCCUAGGGCUAAAACGUAUUGCAAUCAAAAUGGUGAAACACCUGGCCAACUGUUUACCAAGAGCCAUGAAAAAUUGAUGGCAGCUGGGGAGAAAUGGAUGAAGCAGGUGGCAACUUCAUCAACAGUUGUAGGUGCUCUUAUCAUUACAGUUAUGUUCACUGCAGCCUUUACUGUUCCUGGCGGUAACCAAGAUACUGGCUUUCCAGUGGUUUUACAUCAAAAAUCAUUUCUGAUUUUUGUAAUAUCCGACGCAAUUUCUCUCUUUGCAUCAUCUACAUCAGUGUUGAUGUUUCUAGGAAUCCUCACGUCACGUUAUUCCGAGAAUGAUUUCCUUAAAUCAUUGCCUAGAAAGUUGGUUAUUGGCCUCUGCACGCUUUUCAUCUCUAUUGCAACCAUGAUGGUUGCCUUUUGCGCUGCUCUGAGAAUUGUGAUGGAUGGAAGAUUGGAAGUUGUCAUUCCUGUUUCGUUACUUGCUGGAAUUCCUGUAACCCUUUUUAUAUUGCUGCAAUUUCCUCUCCUUGUUGAGAUUUUCAUAUCCACAUAUGGACCAGGUAUCUUCAACAGGAAAAUGAAGCGUUGGUACUGAACAUAUUUUUUUUUCAAUGCAAGGGACGUUCUCUCCGUUUCGUGUGCUUCGGCCAAAAUUCUUGAACGAUCAGCUAGAAUUUAACUUUAUGUACCUCAUGUGAUUACUCUUCUUAUGGUUUUGCUCACAAAAAAGUAAUGUUACAUUUGCCUUAAGCUAGAUUUUUUCUUGUGUUUGUUUAUUUUUAUUAUUAUUUAAUAAAUAAAAAAUUAAUUUUGAUAAAUAAAAUUAUUAAAAACAACUAAAUAAAUGACAUGUAUUAUAAAAUUAAAUAUUUUAAUUUAUAUUUUUUUUAUUCAAUUUUUAGUUUUAUCUUUAAUAAUCAUUAAUAAUUUUGUAUUUUAUUUAUUAAUACUAUAAUUAUUGAUUUAUAUAAUUUGAUUUGAUGUAUCAAAUGAUUUUUUAUAUAUAAAAAAACUUGUCAAGAAAAGUUUACACAUUCAAUUUUUUUUCUAUAGAAAAAAACCAUGGACAGCGUGUCGAAUAGGUAAUAAUCACUAUAAAGUAUAAGCCCCAUGAAUAAAAAAACAAAUUUUCUCCACCUCCAAUCAAUUACAUUCACGCUUUAAUUAUCAUUUCAAAUGUUUUCUUUCCACUAGUUCUUUUUAUUUUGUUUUCAAGAAAGAAAAGAGAAGAAAGUAGCUUUAAUCAAUAGGUUAUGUAAGAGAUUAACAUGUGGCCCAUCCAAUUGUAUUUCUUGGUGUAAAAGAUAACUUUUCUUAAUAAUUUUUUUUUGAAAGAAAAAAAGUUAAUUAAGUUUAAAUUAUAAAGGCUUUGAAGGUAACUACCCAUAUUUUCAAUAUUUUUAUUUUAAAAUACAUCACAAAAUUUCAGGUAAUUUUUUUUUUAUAUGUCACUUCCACUAAAUUUCAACCAAAAUUUCGGCAAAAUCUCUUCUAUAUUCAAGUAAUAAAAGAAUGCCGUAGAUUUAUCAAAUCUUCUUUCUUUCGACUAAUCUUCAAACACAUGAAUCACGGUUUAGCUUUUUAUAUAAAUGACAUGAAAAAGCAAAGUUUUUUUUUUUUUUUUAAGAAAAAAAAGAGAAGAAAGUAGCUUUAAUAAAUAGGUUAUGUAAGAGAUUAACAUGUGGCCCAUCCAUUUGCAUUUGUUGGUGUAAAAGACAACUUUUCUUAAUAAUUUCUUUUUUGAAAAAAAAAAGUUAAUUAAGUUUAAAUUAUAAAGGCUUUGAAGGUAACUACCCAGAUUUUCAAUAUUUUUUUUUAAAUGCAUUAAAAAUUUUCAGGUAAUUUUUUUUUUAUAUACCACUUCCACUAAAUUUCAAUUAAAAUUUCAGCAGAGUCUCUUCUAUAUUUAAGUAAUUAAAAAAUGUUGUAGAUUUAUCAAAUCUUCUUUCUUUCCACUCAUCUUCAAACACAUGUAUCACGAUUUAGCUUUUUAUAUAAAUGUCAUGAAAAAGCAACGUUCUUUUUUUUUUUUCAAGAAAGAAAAGAGAAGAAAGUAGCUUUAAUCAAUAGGUUAUGUAAGAGAUUAACAUGUGGGCCAUCCAUUUGCAUUUGUUGGUGUAAAAGACAACUUUUCUUAAUAAUUUAUUUUUUAAAAAAAAAAAAGUUAAUUAAGUUUAAAUUAUAAAGGCUUUGAAGGUAACUACCCAGAUUUUCAAUAUAUAUAUUUUUAAAAUACAUCAAAAAAUUUCAGGUAAUUUUUUUUUUAUAUGUCACUUCCACUAAAUUUUAACCAAAAUUUCAGUAGAAUCUCUUCUAUAUUAAGAGAUAUUAAAUUAUUUAAGAUCGACAAAAUCAUAUUACACUUUCAAUUUUAAUUCAUUUAGGCGUUGAGAAAAAAGAAUGCCGCAGCUUUACAUGCAAUUCAAAUUUCUUGUGCACCAUACAUACUUUCCAAGAUUAGGAGCAUCACUUCUGCAAAAAAUACUUUCCAAUAUGGUUAGAGCCUAGGGUGUUUGGCAAAAUAUAACCAUUAAACUAUAAUCUUUUUAUUCCAUCCCUUUUUAUUUUGAUAUGUAAUCAAACAUGCUUUGUUAGAUAUUAAAAAAAUUCAAAAACAAUUGUUGAUCUUUUCUAAUUUAUUUGUAGUCCCUCAUGUUUUUUUAGAUAUUUCAUUAUAUAAUUGAUUUGUAGAUUUUUGUAUAUAAUACAUUUUUUUAUAGUCCAGGCCAUUGAUGGAAACGCAUUCCAUAGCUUCACCACCAUUCUAUUUCAGCAACCACAGCUCUCCAACCCCUUCCUUCCUCCUCUCAUUUAAUAAACAGGGACUGGGAAAUUUAAACAAAUUGAAGCUGUUGAAUACAUUAUUGUUAGGGUUUUGUUUUUUUAUCCAUAAUUUGAAAUCUUGUGGGGUGGAGAAAGACGGGUCUUAGUUGAUUUAGUUUCAUUAUAGGUAGGUGAGUAAAGCACAGUAGAGGGAGGGGAGAAAAAAUAGUUGAUCAGAAAAUCAAAAAAUCAAACGCAAGGACAAAACAGGGACUGUAUUGGAUCUUUGCCAUCUUCAAACUCCAACGGGGGUUGUAGAAAACGGUAAUUUUAUUCCUGAUGGCAACCCAUACACGACAUAAUUUUCCUCCACGAUAAGAAAAAACAAAUCAAAUGAAAACAUAAGAAUUGAAAAUUAUACUCAUCUUAAAAACAAAACCCACAACAAAAUUUAAGCAAAAUAACUCAGGAACACAUAAGAAUAAAUCAAAGAGAAAAUGAAACAAAUGGGUAUGAAAAAUGGGUAACCGUAACAAAUAAGUACUUUUCUGGUUGUUAAUUGACUCUCUCUCUCGCAAUUAGAAUCUACAAUUGUACAUAGCAAAGCUCUUAAUUUUAAGAUGUUCAUUAUAUAUUCUAGUCAUUAAUUAGUUGAUUAAAAUCAAAAUCAAAAAUCAAUUUUAAGUUGAUUGGGAUAGGGACACAGGGCAGUACGAAAUUGGAGAGAAAAUAAAUGGGGUCAGGAGCCUCAUCUUCAUGAUAAUUGGUGGAGUUUUUUAGAAUUUCAAAAAGUUAUUCUUACAACUGGCGAUGCUCAAGUAAAAGAGAUGGUGAUUGAAGAUAAAAGUGAUGAUUCUCCAACAGCUGCUUUUAUUAUGGGAAAAUAGAAAUUAGAGAGGUAAAGGUGUAAGUAAUGCUAUCUAUAUAUAUAUAUAUAAAACAAUAAGAAAUUUAUUGUAUUGUAAUUUAUUUUAAUUAAUUAAAUUGAGUUAUAAGAUCAAAGCUCAUUUUUUUUAACAAAAAACAAGAUUUGAACUUGAAAUCUAGAUCUGAUGAUAUUUUUUAGAUGCUCAUUUUUUUAAAGAGAGAUAAUAAUGUUAUUAUUUGAGCUCCAACUCAUUAGUAAGACCAAAACUAAUUAGUCAAAUAGUUUGGAGUUGCAACUCUUAAUUUAGAAUCAGAGGCUUUUGCAUAUUAACUAAAAUUAGAAUCAGAGGCUUUGGCUUGAAUUUUCACUAUAUUGUUAUCACUAAAAGUGUUCCAGAGAUAUUAUAAAGUGUGGAUUUUUUACCCUUAUGGUAAGUUUUGAACAUAUAACCUAAGAUUUGAACACAUUAAUUGUUCACGGUAUUAUAUGCAUUGAUUGGUGCAAUAAAAUAUUCCCAAAUGUGUGUGUGUUAAUGGCUGAUUAAGUACCAUAGACAUCGACGUCUAUUUAGUAUUUACAUUAAAUUCAUCAAUCUCUCUCUUGAUUUGAAAAGUUGUCCCCCCUUGAGGACAGUGGAGACGACCUCACGUUUCACCUAACAAACGAAGUCUUUGGCACGAAAUUGGAAGGUCACAUCAGUGCAUGCACCGCAUGUGCAAGCCCUCUGUGACUGAAAAAGAGUAAAAAAUAAUAAUCAUGGUACGUUUAACAGAAUUUCAAGUAAAAUCUACAUCACGGUAUGUUUUUUUUUAUUAUUAUUAUUAUGAAUUAAGAAUAUGAGUGAGAAAAAAAUUAAAAAUUAAUUAAAUUGAAAAAAUCAGAAAAUAAAUAAUAAUAAAAAUUAAAUCGUAAAAAAAAAAGUGAUUAAAAUUUUUAAAAAACCAACUGGUUUGGUUUGGUUUCGGUAUUAUAAGUCUGAAAUAACAAAAUCGAACUAAACCGGAAAAAAAACCAGAAAAAACCGAGUCAAAUUGAAAAAAACUAUGUCAAACCAAAAAUCAAGCCAAACCGGUUUAAAUUGAUUUUUAUUUUAAAAAACCAAAGCAAACCGAAACCGGUCAGUUUGAACCGGUUUUGGUUCUAUUUUAAUUUUUUUUUAAUUAAGUAUAAUUAUUUUUUUAAUAAAAUCACACCAAAUAAAAAAUAAAUACCUCUAGCACGGAGUCAGUAAUUAGGAUUAGAAUGCUCUUGGAACAUGAUUCAGGCUACUAAAUUUAAUUAAAAUCUCAAGACACGGUUUCUUAUAUUUAAAUUUAUUGUUAAUUAGGAAAUUGAGGUGUUGAUUAAGAGGGUGCAUUACUGUUUAAUAAAUCUCAAAUCAAUGAAAAGCAAAAUCUUUAGGAACUCUGCAUGAAUAAUUUGACUUUGACUGAAACCAAGAAAUAAACACCUUGAACUAAGAGUUUAUUACAACAAGACAAUAGGGAUAUGGACAUUUGGCGCGACCACCGCAAUAACAUGAACACGUCAUCAUGGGACUCCUUUGAGGUCUCUGUAAGGGUCCAUGGGAAUAUGCUUGGUACAGGCAGAAUUAUUUUGCAGCAUAUACAUUCAUUGUUUUUUUCUGAAAAAACAUUAUUGAACCGGCAAAACGUGGGUGAGAUAUCUAAUCUGCCCUGUACAACCUUUCAUUAUCAAAAUAUUUAUUAUUAUUAUUAUUAUUUUGUUGAGUAUGGGUAAUGCCAUGAUUAGGCGUGACAAGAUCGAAGGACACGCCUCUUCCUUUUUCUGUCCUUCAUCUUGGACUUUCGCCUCUAAUUUUGUGUAUAAUGAUAACAAAUUGUCUCCCUAACAUGGGUUCAGUGUAGUAUUCUUGGUUUAUGAUUGCAAGUUUUCUCAAUUUUAUAAGGCAUGGGUUAAAAAUAUUUUUGAAAAUAUUAAAAAAAUAUUUAUUUUAAAAAAAGGCAGAGCUUCUUCUUUCUUUCCACUAAUCGUCAAACACAUGAUUCACGAUUUAGCUUUUUAGAUAGAUGUCAAGAAAAAACAAAAGUUCUUUUUUUUCAAGAAAGAAAAGAGAAGAAAGUAGCUUUAAUUAAUAGGUUACGUAAGAGAUUCACAUCUAGGCCAUCCAUUUGCAUUUGUUGGUGUAAAAGACAACUUUUCUUAAUAAUUUCUUUUUUGACAAAAAGAAGUAAAUUGAGUUCAAAUUAUAAAGGCUUUGGAUGUAACAACCCAGAUUUUUAAUAUUUUUUUUGAAAUGCAUGAAAAGUUUUCAGUAAUUUUUUUUUUAAUAUGCCCAAUUUCAUUAAAUUUCAACCAAAAUUUUAAUAAAAUCUUUUCUAUACUGAAAGGUCAUAAAUUAUCAAUAAAAUCAUAUUAUAUUUUUAAUUUUAAUUCACUUCCUGGUACAAUCAUUUUGGAUCUCAACCUGAUUCAUUAUUAUCAACACAAAACAUGUUAUUCAAUGUAGCAGCCCUUCAUGUAGCAGCUUUUUCUGGACAUCUGAGAGUUGUGGAGGAGUUGGUGAAGUUGAUGUCAGUAGAAGAAUUGGAAAUACAAGAUCAUCAAGGCAACACAGGUCUUUCUAGUGCUGCCUUUGUUGGAAAAAGAAAGAUGGUAGAAUGUUUGGUGAGAAAGAACAAACUUGGUUACCUUUGUAAAUGCACAAAAAAAGAUCCCGCUGGUUCAGGCAUGUAUAAGCAACUGUAAGGAUAUGGCUCUUUAUCUAUACUCUGUUACUCCAUUUGAAUUUCUUUGUCAAGGCAAUGGCCACCAUGGAUCCUAUUUCCUAAAAUGUGCUAUUGCUGCUCAAAUGCUCGGUAAGAGACAUUACCCCUUAAUUAAUUAUUUAUUUUCCCUUUUUUUCUUCCCUCUCCUUUAAUGUAAGGUAGGGCAAGCACAGGACAUAUGUAUAGGAGUCCAAUUGGGCUGCAUGGCCCUUCAAUAUUGUAAAAAUUUUGGACAGUUUCUUGAUAUAUUUAUUUCUAUUUUCCAAAAAUAUAAACUUUUUUGAACCCUAAUCCUAGUAUCCGAUCCUUUAUUCAAUCCCAGAUAUUGCUCUUGUUUAAAUUCAUAGUUAAUUUAACACAAUUUAAUCAAAUCAUAAUUCAGUGUAAUAUUUCAUCAAUUUUUAGAGAGAAAGGGGCUGUAACUGCAGGGGAAAAAACACAUCACAACCGUGACAUGUACUUUUUCAUCAGUUUUUUUAAAAUUGUGCAUCUAUUAAUAUUUUGAAUUUAGUGUGCUAAGUUUUUUAUAAAAAAUUAAAAUCUGUGGCAUUUAUAUAUAAUAAAUCGCAUUUCCAGCAGUCACCCGUCCGUAGAUGUCCUUCGACCUUAAUGUUGAAUUAUUAGUUAGGGCAUUUAUGGAUGACAACGACUCAACGAGGUGAAAUGAAAGGCUGAGAGUGCUGGACACAGGCUGAUAGUCUUUGUGCAUUUAUGGAUGACAACGAGGUGAAAUGAUUCUUAUGAAAAAAAUGUCACAGGUGGGUGGCCCAUCGUACGCGGUGAAGCUUGGAAGAAGAGAUUCAACUACAGCAAGUCGAACUUUAGCCAACGCAGAGUUACCUGCCUUCUUUGAAAGCCUGGAGAGUCUUAUUUCUCGCUUCCAAAACAAAGGCCUUACUGCAAGGGACAUGGUUGCCUUGUCAGGUUCGCAUACUCUUGGGCAAGCUCAAUGCUUCACUUUCCGUGAAAGGAUAUACAAUCACAGCAAUAUCGUUGCCGGAUUCGCUAGCACCCGCAGGAGGCGUUGUCCACGUGUUGGCAGCGACUCAACCUUAGCCCCGCUCAAAAUAAUGGAAAUAUUAUUGCAUCAAUUAUUUACGUAUUUAUUGAAAAUGGUGGAAUAGAUGCUUUAUCCGUCGAAAAACACAUCCAAAACUAAAUUAUCAGACACGCUCUAACGUGAUACAGUUAUGUAAGCCAUCAAUUUUGAUUUAAAACUAGUUGUUCAAAUGGAAAGAGGGCAGUGCAGGACACAGUUACCCUUACUCUAUAUUUGUCCUUUUGUUCGUUUCCUGUGUCUUUCUUUUUUCUUCUAUGCAACAAGAUGAUCUAAGGUAUGACCUUAAGACAGGAAGCAAGGAAUUUCUAUUCUCUUUUCCAGCAAUAUUUUGUAUUUAUUUAGAACACAGAAAGUAUGGGCUGUGUCAUCUCCCUUAUCCCUUUCUUCUUUGGUGGAACAACUUGUGGACUCUACUGUUAUGUGUGGAUCAUGCAGGGAUGGAUCCAGACUUAGCAAAGUGGGAGGUAAAAUCGUAGGCAUAAUUGUUUUUUUGAGUUUGGGGAUUCUUUAAAAAUACUCUAUUUUGAGUUUGUUGUUACCAGUCUAGGAGUCAUUUUGGAAACUACUCAAAUUUUGGUGGGUUAGGCCAUCUCUUGGCAUACUUGUAGGGGUAAACUAAAAACAUCUAAGAUUUAAAAUUUUACCCGACUGAAUUUCUAAUUAAAUCAUGUUAUACAUGUUGCAGUUGACUCAAGUAAAUUUUUAAUUAUUUCAUCGACCUAGUCUAAAUCUAUCAAAUUAACAAGAAAGAUUUUUUUUAAAAAAAAUAUUAUUUUAAUAAAACAAAAAAUUGAUUUGAAGUCGUCCGAUAACCUUUACCAAAUGACCCAUGUGAAUUAUUGGAUUGAGUCUAACAACUGUCAUCCUGGCCACCCUCUAAAUUCAUGUACGGUUUAAAAGGGUGGUGAUAGACACUACUACCCCCAACAUGCAAUCAACUCUUCUUGCAUCUUGACGUUGGUUGACCUUUAUAGACAGGUUUUUUUUUUUUAAAAAAAAACAAAUAUUACGAAUCAAGAAAAUUGCCCCGGUGAAUAAAACCCUGACACGCUAAUAAAAGAAUAAAACAAAUGACCACAAAAAAAAUGAACAAACCACAUCUGAGUCCAACCCUGAUAAUACCCAUAGAUUAGUCAAUGAACACAUAACUUCAUUUCUUUUUUUUAGUUACUCACCAAUGUCGAAGCCCUUCCCACAAACUUUGGCUCAAUAGAUCUUGGCAUCACCAGUAGUUUCUCUGAUCGAUUCUUACCCCACAUUGUUCACAGAUUCUAACAUGACGACAACAAACAUUUCCCCAUCUUCAAUUGUUGUUGAAGUCCUCAGAGGUGAUAACUAUGAUGAUUGGAGUGCCUGCAUGAAAAGCUACAUGUUAGCUCAAGACCUUGGGGAUUUUAUUGAGCCUGCUGUUCUUCAAGAUGUUGACUAUAAGACUUUGAGAAGAAAGAAUGCAGCAGCUUUACAUGCAAUUCAAAUUUCUUGUGCACCAAACAUACUUUCCAAGAUUAGGAGCAUCACUUCAGCCAAAGAUGCCUGGGAUAAUUUGCACCGACAACAUUCACCAAGCCACAAAGAGCAAUCUGUUGAAGCAAAGUCACAAGGCCGUUCAGGUAUACCAUGACCUCAUUCUCUUCCUUUGUUAGAUUUCCAACCACUUCGAUCUCUUGAUGUUAACACGGGAGAGAAUAAAAACCUUGGCAGGACCGGUGAGCAAUGAAAUGAAUGGUCCCUUGCUAACGCUGUACAAGUAUGCCUAUAAUGGAAACUGGGAUGCCAUAAAAACCCAUCUUAGCCAAUACCCAAAUGCAAGAAAGGCCAAGCUUAAACCCUAUGGUGGAACAGUCCUUCAUGUAGCAGCUUUUUCUGGACAUGUGAGGGUUGUGGAGGAGUUAGUGAAGUUGAUGUCAGUAGAAGAAUUGGAAAUACAAGAUAAUCAAGGCAACACAGCUCUUUUUAUUGCUGCCAUUGUUGGAAUAAGAAAGAUGGCAGAAUGUUUGGUGAGAAAGAACGAACACUUGGUUACCUCUGAAAAUGCACAAAAAAAGAUCCCGCUGGUUCAGGCAUGUAUAAGCAACUGUAAGGAUAUGGCUCUUUAUCUAUACUCUGUCACUCCAUUUGAAUUUCUUUGUCAACGCAAUAGCCACCAUGGAUCUUAUUUCCUAAAAUGGGCUAUUGGUGCUCAAAUGCUCGGUAAGAGACUUUACCCCUUAAUUACUUAUUUUCUCUUAUUUUCUUCUUUUUCUUCAUGCUUUUUGCAUAAAUUAAUUUUCUCUUCCGAGUAAAUUAUUAUUUAUUUCCUGUAAUUUAAUAAAAAUAAUUCAUUAAUUUUUUUUUAAGAAAUAUAUGAAUAAUCCUUUUGUUUUUAACUUCAAAUCAUUUUGUCAGUUUCAUGUGAUUUUUUAAUUAAUUAUUUCUUCUUCUUCUUUUUAAAUAAUAGAAAAGGGAAGGAAAAUCAGGUAAGAUGGGAAAUUAAUGCAAUACUAAAUUGAUACGAAACAAAAUGACUUGUAAUUUAUUAACAUUUCAAAACACUAAAAUUAACUUCAAUCAUUUGUUUUUAACUUCUUCUUAUGCUGUUUCUUUUUGCUAUUGCAAUACCAGAAAUUGCUUUUGAUUUUCUACAUCGCUGCCCAAAUUUGGUUCUGAAGUCGAACGCUUUGAUUUAUUUGUCUGACAUGCCUCAUUUAUUCCCAAGCGCAAGUCGACUUACAUUUUGGCAGCAAUGGAUCUAUUCAUGUUAGUAUCUCUUCCUUCGAUUUUUCCUCUUCCCAUUUCUCUUCAAUAUUUCCUCUGCCAAUCUUUUUUACGUAUAAUGUUCUGUAUGUUUUUGGAGAUCAUCACUCCGUUACAAAGAAAGAAAAGCAAAGGUUCUAUAUGAUAUAAUUUUUGUAAAUUUAUACGAGUUAUUUUUUAAUUUUUGACCCAUAGAAAAAUUGUAAAUAUAUUUAGUUAGAAAUGAUUUUUGGUUUAAAUCAAAAUUUAACAAAAACUGAAUCAAAAUUUUAAUGUCAUCUAAAGUUUAGGAAAAAAUUAAACUUUAAUUUAUGAAUUUCAACUUAUAAUAAAGAAUUACUUUAAAUUAUUUUUAUCAAACAUAUUUCUAAAAUAAAGUUUUUUGAACUUAUUCAUGUUAAAAAAUCAAUUUUUUCAUAAGUCAUGUUAGGUAAACUUGAAGUUAUAUUCACUAAGAUUGACUUGAUUCUAAAAUCAUGGCAGGUAUUCCCAUGCAAUCAAUUGCUACAACUGAUGACAAUGUUCUUAUUAAUAUGCCUGAUCAAAGCCUAAGUGAGUCCAAGAACAUUAUCCUCCAAGGUAUUUGCACAAAUCUCUCUCUGUUUUUGUUCAUGGCAAGCACAGGAGACAUGUAUAGAAGUCCAAUUGGACGGUUUCUUGAUAUAUUUAUUUCUAUUUUCCAAAAAUAUAAACUUUAAUUGCUGGGUUUCAACUUAUAAUAUAUCUAUUCUUCAAAAGAAUUACUUUAAAUUAUUUUUAUCAAACAUAUUUCUAAAAUAAAGUUAUUUGAACUUAUUUUUAUAUAUAAAUGAUCUAUAUAAAAAAACAACUUUUAAAAUUAUGAUUCAUGUUAAAAAAUCAUUUUUUUCACAAGUUAUGAUAGGCAAACUUGAAGUUAUAUUCACUAAGAUUGACUUGAUUCUAAAAUCAUGGCAGGUAUUCCCAUGCAAUCAAUUGCUACAACUGAUGACAAUGUUCGUAUUAAUAUUCCUGAUCAAAGCCCAAGUGAGUCGAAGAACAUUAUCCUCCAAGGUAUUUGCACAAAUCUCUCUGUUUUUGUUCCCUCUCCUUUAAUGUAAGGUAGGGCAAGCACAGGACAUAUGUAUAGGAGUCCAAUUGGGCUGCAUGGCCCUUCAAGAUUGUAAAAAUUUUGGACAGUUUUUUGAUAUAUUUAUUUCUAUUUUCCAAAAAUAUAAACUUUUUAGAACCCUAAUCCUAGUAUCCGAUCCUUUAUUCAAUCCCAGAUAUUGCUCUUGUUUAAAUUCAUAGUUAAUUUAAUACAAUUUAAUCAAAUCAUAAUUCAGUGUAAUAUUUCAUCAAUUUUUAGAGAGAAAGGGGCUGUAACUGCAGGGAAAAAAAUCAUGGCAGGUAUUUCCAUGCAAUCAAUUGCUACAACUGAUGACAACGUUCGUAUUAAUAUGCCUGAUCAAAGCCUAAGUGAGUCGAAGAACAUUAUCUUCCAAGGUAUUUGCACAAAUCUCUCUGUUUUUGUUCCCUCUCCUUUAAAGGGGUAGGGCAAGCACAGGACAUAUGUAUACAAGUCCAAUUGGGCUUGAUAUAUUUAUUUCUAUUUUCCAAAAAUAUAAACUUUUUUGUUUAUAUAUGCUGCUUGUGAUAAUUUCUCUAAUUUGUUUUUGUCCAACUUUUCAGUGUCAAGCAAAUUGCGUGGGUUUGCAAUAAAUCUCCUCGCUUUCAUAGGUAAGCAAAAUAUAUCUGACAUCUCUUGAUUUCUGUCAUCAUUAUCAUGGUUUUAUUUGAUCACUCUUUAAUGGUUGAUCUAGGAAUCAAGCAAAUAUAUCUAUUCUUUAUAAGAAUUACUUUAAAUUACUUUUAUCAAACAUAUUUCUAAAAUAAAGUUAUUUGGACCUUUUUUUUAUAUAAAUGAUAUAUAAAAAAACUACCUUUUAAAUUAUGAUUCUGUUAAAAAAUCAAUUUUUUCAUAAGUUACGUUCUCUAAGAUUGACUUGAUUCUAAAAUCAUGGCAGGUAUUCCCAUGAAAUCAAUUACUACAACUGAUGACAAUGUUCGUAUUGAUAUGCCUGAUCAAAGCCUAAGUGAGUCGAAGAACAUUAUCUUCCAAGGUAUUUGAACAAAUCUCUCUGUUUUUGUUCCCUCUCCUUUAAAGGGGUAGGGCAAGCACAGGAUAUAUGCUGCUUGUGAUAAUUUCUCUAAUUUGUUUCUGUCCAACUUUUCAGUGUCAAGCAAAUUGCGUGGGUUUGCAACAAAUCUCCUCGCAUUCUUAGGUAAGCAAAAUAUAUCUGACAUCUCUUGAUUUCUAUCAUCAAUAUCAUGGUUUUAUGUGAUCACUCUUUAAUGGUUGAUCCAGGAAUCAAGCAAAUAUACGAUUUGAAGAAGAUCCACUUUUAUUCAGAUAAAAUUCUACAGUGUAUGUGUAAGCAUAUAUCGACUCUGGAUUUUGAGGAAUACGACAAGGCAGAUGUACAUGGAGCAUUCCACAAUGCUGUAAAGAAUGGCAUGGUUGAGUUUAUUAUUGAGGUGAUAAAAGCUCGUCCUCAUUUAAUGGUUAGUGUAGAUCACAAGUCAAGGAACCUAUUUAUGUCCUCGAUUGCAAACCGGCAAGAAAAAGUGUUCAGCCUUUUCUAUGGACUGGAAGUAGAAAGAGCACUAUUUGUUUCCCUCGUUGAUAUCUCUGAAAAUACAAUGCUACAUUUGGCAGCAAAACUAUCAGCUCCUUCUCAACUAGCUCGGAUCUCUGGUGCAGCUCUCCAGAUGCAAAGAGAACUACAAUGGUACAAGGUGAGCUUUCUACACUCAACAUCUUUAAAAAACUGAUUGCACCUUGAUCAAAUAUAUUUUAGAGCUGAUUAAGACCUAAUUGAUUUGAUUUUAGGGUACCCAUUUACUCAUUUUCAUUGUUAUCCAAAAAGAAAUAAUUUCACUCGAAUUCAAAAAUCUUGAUGCAGGAAGUGGAAAGCAUUACGCAUCCUAUACGUGAGGAUUAUCGUAACAAGGACUAUCAGACAGCCAGGGAAUUAUUCACGUCUGACCAUAAGGACUUGGUAGUGAAAGGAGAGCAAUGGAUGAAAGAAGCAGCAACUUCUUGUACAGUUGUGGGUGCUCUCAUCAUUACAAUUAUGUUUACUGUGGCAUUCACUGUUCCCGGCGGCAACGUUCAAGAGACCGGCUAUCCGGUUUUUAAAGAUGAGAAAUCUUUUACAGUUUUUAUAGUAGCGGAUGCAGUCUCUCUCUUUUCUUCAUCAACAUCGGUGUUGAUGUUCUUAGGGAUUCUUACGUCGCGAUACGCAGAGGAAGAUUUCCUUAAAUCCUUGCCCAAGAAGUUAAUCAUCGGCCUUUCCAUGCUUUUCUUCUCUAUUGCAGCCAUGAUGGUAACCUUCUGUGCUGCUCUUAUAAUCAUGUUGGAUGGGAGAUUGCAACUUAUAAUUCCAAUUGUACUGCUUGCCUCUAUCCCUGUAACUCUUUUCAUGAGGCUGCAAUUUCCCCUGCUAGUGGAGAUUUUUGUAUCCACCUAUGGACCAGGAAUCUUCAAAAGAAAAAUGAAACCCUGGUAUCUUGAUCAAUCUGUUUAGAAAUUCCUAUUUCCCCGGGACUAGUUGUUUUAUGUUCCUCUUAGUAUGUUUAGAGCAUGUAUAGCGCGGUGGUUGUUAUUUUGAUUGCUGAAUCUCUUUGUAAAAGGCUAUAUAAGCCUGCUGUUUGUGAUGAAUAAACAAGAGACUUCUCAUUCAAGACUGUGUGCUGCUGUAGUUUCUUCUGAGUCUUUUUCUACAAAUGGAAGGUUAACCAAUUCCCUUCAUGUGCAUGCUUAUUAAUUUCAGGCCAUUGAGUAUAUUCGUACUGAAUGAGUCCUGCCAAAUUAAGUCAAGCUAUCAUUUUAAGAGAAGAAACAGCGUGCGUUGACAUGAUUUUGAUUAAAAUUAUCUCAAGUGCCAGUUUUAGUUAUGUUUCAAAAGAAAUUGAAAGGGCUAAAGGCGUUUGGAGGCUCAACAACAGGCGCAGCAGCAUUGGUGUCUGCGAGAACAGCUUCUUGAUCACCAGAAGCCUUAAAGGCACUUGGGACACAUGCAUGAUGUCUUUGCUUUUUUACAGUUUUCUUAAUAAAAACUGCUCUCUUGUUUUAUCAAAAAAAACUUCGAUUUUGAUCAAAAAAGAGGUGCAGAGUGCACCUCUUCUAAUAAUAAACAAAGACCUCUUACUAGACGAGACUCCCUCUAUCCAGAGUGAAAAGACUGCCCUCGGCAAUAAAGUAAGACUCUAAGCCUAUUGAUCAUCAAGAAGGUGACUCUAAGGCAUUGAGAAAAAAGAAUGCUACAGCUUUACAUGCAAUUCAAGUUUCUUGUGCGCCACACAUGCUUUCCAAGAUUAGGAGCACCACUUCAGCCAAAGUUGCCUGGGAUACUCUAGCCAAUUUGCAGCAGCAACAUUCACCAAGCCACAAAGAGCAAACUGUUGAAGCAGAGCCGGCAGAAGAUGAUGAGUCACAAGGCCGUUCAGGUAUCUCAUUCUCUUCCUUUGUUAGAUUUACAAUCACUUCGAUCUCUUCCUUUGAAAUAUUCGUGAGUAAAACCAGAUUGAUACUAACAAGAAAAAAAAUGUUCUCUACAUCUACACACACACUCCCAUCCUUCACACUUCCACAUCUGCUAGCUGUUCAAAUGCAGAAACAAGGUUCACUUCAUCCACUUCUUUUUAGCUCUUUUCUGCUCCUCUUAUAUAAUUUUAAUAUAUAUUUUUUCAAUGUAUUUAGGAAUAAUUCUCUCACAGAAGGUAAUGCAAUAUUGGAAGGAUCACAUCAUGGACACCAUCGCAAUGGCUCAGCCAAGCUUUUUGCAUUUUGGGGUUUCCUAAACUGGCUAUGACUGCUCGGUUGGUACUGCAUAUGCAGCUCAUUAUGCUAUCCAGCCUUAAGUUCGAUCAGUUUAUGCCACCGCUAUUAAACCUGGUUUAAUUUGAUAGGUUAAUUUGAGAUUUAACUUAUUUAUUUUUACAUGGACUAGAUUUAAAAAAUAAUAAUUUGAUAUUAAUUUGGUUUGAUCUAGCAAAAAACCCGUGAUCUAAUCAAAACUUUAUUUAAUAUUUUAAAAUUAAAAUGAUAUUUUUUUAAUUAAUGUUGAUGUUGAUUAACCAUUCAAGUCGUGAAUUAGAUCAUAAGCCAGGUCAAGUUUAAUAACUUAUUGCUAUGCAACAUAUUAUGCCUAUCCUGCCAGAAGACAGAUUAGUUUAAGCAACAUAUAAUGCAUAUCCUUACGAAUUAGUCUGAGCAUCCAUGAAGGCUAUCCGGCCUUGAGUUGAAUUCGUUUAUGCAGCCCAUUAUGCCUGAUGAAAAUGUUAAAACUUGGGUGUAAUUGUUUUUGAAAAAAUUAUUUAUUAACAUGAAAAGGAGAAGGAGAAACAAGUAGAUUCACACAAAAUCAAUGGGCAUGAGCACAGUGUGAGUUCAUAAUUCAGGAGAAGCUGCUGCUUCUGCUUUUGCUGCCAUUUCUUUGAGUCGUCUAAUUAAGUGCAAGACUAACUUUUACUCUCACAAAAUUAAUCUAUAGCUUUUGCAAAUGAAUCCAGUUGAUUAACACAAGCUGUUAUCAAAUAUAGAAUAGAGAGAAAAGGGAUAGAAGAUGAAGAAUAAUGCAUGGGAGCUCCUCCUUUUAUAGAAGGAUGAUGAAGCACACUCGUAACGCGUUCGAUUUUCUUAUGACUGCAUGCCAUCAUUAGGUAACUCCUCUUUGUUCUUACCAAUUCAACUAGAGAAUUAUUCUAUCCUUCAAUUCGCUAUUAAAAAAUCCCUUUUUUCUGCACCCAACGCUGCCUUUUCUGGCGGUGAAUAUAAUAUGGGACGACGAUGUGCUACAUGGAAACAUCCUUGUUUUCCAGUACGUUGGUCAAGUGUCUUAUUCAGUCCUUCAUGAGGGAUAUGCGUUGAUUUUGUACGGACAACACAUACUUUUUCAAUCAUGAGACAAUUAGAAAAUUUCAAAGACAAGCAUUGACGAAUUCUAUAGGGAUAAUUAUCCAAAGAGAUGAUUACCCAUACAAUUUUCAGAAAGAUUUAUUUGUGAGAGCUCACUGGUUUCGUGGUGGUAAGAAGACAAAUUCUUUAUUUUCUUAAAGAAAAUAUGAUUUUAUCUAUGAUGAUAAAAUAAAGUAGAAUUAUUCUACAACCACCUUGCAGACGUAAAUUCUUUACUCUUACAUGUCAUUUGGUAUUAUGAAAUUAUAAAGACGUGACCGAAAUAAGUUUUUAAAACAAACAGGAGUGAUACAUAUUGUUAAAACAAUUGAUUGUAUUUUUUGUUAUAAAAAAUAGCAUUGUUUUAAAAGUCAAUCAUUUCUGACCCGAGAUUCAAGUGAUUCUACACCUUAUCUAGGAUGAUUUCCAACAAAUAUAAAAAGUUAAUUGAUCCAAUACAAUCUCGUUAAAAAAUUAAAAAUAGUAGUUCUAAAAACAAAUAAUUGAUUAAAUGUGGAGGCUGAGAAUGAUUCAAAAUCAAAUUAUAUAAGUUUUCAACCAAGCAUUAAUUUCCAUAGUCCAUAUUUUUCAAAUACGUCGAAAGAGGAUACUAACUAACCAGCUGUAAUAUCAGGCCAAAUUAAUUACUCUAUAAUUUAUCGAUUUCAAGUGACAAGUUUUCCUUUCUGGACUGCAUGGUGGCAUUUUAAAUAAUGGAUUUCUAUAAUCUUUUCUGUUAAAAAAACAAAGAAGAUACGCAUCAACAAUGAACGAGCAAAAUGUGUAGGAUUUUAGUUGAGUGGAAGUCAAAGAGAUGUGAAUUAAGAGGGGGGGGGGGGGGGAGUCAAAAAGUGUACGAUUCCUCGAUUGUAUUAUUUAAUUUCAACUUUAAUAAUAAAAUAAUUAUACUAUUGAUAUAUUUUUUGAUGGACAAACGGACAAUUCCUGAUUCUGUCUACCGAUAUAUUUUUUAGUAAAAGACCGCAGCUAUGAGCAACUACUUGCACUAAAAAUACCAAAGCAGCCUCAUUAGAUUACUAUUUCAUAGGAUUUCAUGCAGAUAAAAUAAUUAAUUAAUGGGUCAGGACAAGAAGUGUAAAAAAAUAUAUUAAUGAAUGGCAUGCAGGCAUCAAAUUAGAAAAGUUUCUACGCGUUAUGGCCUUAUAGUUUCUUACCUAGACAAAUCUUGAUUAAUGUGCUUGAUCAGCCUCUAUAAAUAGAUAAGCUCCCAGCAUUCCUCUCCAUCUUCUAUCUCAAUUAUCCAACAGCUUUGUUAACAGCACUUGCAGACUUAGCUAUACAUUUAGCGCGCUAAAAACUAGUUUCUCCAACUGAAAACAUAUAAAAUGGCAGCAAAAGCAGGAGCAGCAGCUUCUUUCAUGUUCAUGCUGUUCUUGCUGAACACAGCAUGCCCAGGCACAACUCUCCCCUGCAUUUUACGACAGCUCCUGUCCUAACGCGCUUAGCGCGAUCCGAACUGCUAUCAGAAGUGCAAUUGCAAGCGACAGGAGAAUGGCUGCGUCUCUCAUCCGCUUACACUUUCACGAUUGCUUUGUCCAGGUACUUUUGCAACUACUUUUGGCAGCCACAUUGCUCCUCUCUGAUUAUGUAUAUUAUCUUGGAGCCAGUGUACUUAUGAGUUGUUCCUUGGUUUUGCAGGGUUGUGAUGCUCGAUCUUACUGGACGAGACUCCUCUAUCCAGAGUGAAAAGACUGCCUCGGCAAUCUUAACUCUGCUAGAGGUUAUAAUGUAAUAGACAAAGCAAAAACUGAAGUUGAGAAGAUCUGUCCGGAGUAGUAUCUUGUGCAGAUAUCAUUGUUGUUGCAGCGAGAGAUGCGUCUGCUUAUGUGAGUAUAUCUAAAUCCAUCUCUUUAUUGCUGUUGGUAUUGCAAGCUGCAAAACCAGGACUUGUUGUUUAUGAUUCUUAUGGAAAAAAUGUCACAGGUGGGUGGCCCAUCCUACCCGGUGAAGCUUGGAAGGAGAGAUUCAACUACAGCAAGUCGAAGUUUAGCCAACGCAGAGUUACCUGCCUUCUUUGAAAGCCUGGAGAGUCUUAUUUCUCGCUUCCAAAAGAAAGGCCUUACUGCAAGGGACAUGGUUGCCUUGUCAGGUUCGCAUACUCUCGGCCAAGCUCAAUGCUUCACUUUCCGUGAAAGGAUAUACAAUCACAGCAAUAUCGAUGCCGGAUUCGCUAGCACCCGCAGGAGGCGCUGUCCACGUGUUGGCAGCGACUCAACCUGAGCCCCGCUCGAUUUGGUCACUCCCAAUUCUGUCGACAACAAUUACUUCAAGAAUCUGAUGCAAAACAAGGGUCUCCUUCAAUCAGAUCAAGUGCUUUUCAAUGGAGGCUCCACGGACAGCAUUUUCAAUUUACUCUAAAAAUUCCACAUAAUAGUAUAGCAAUGAAACAAAUAAUUAAUAUUCUCAAUCUCCAAAAAAAAAAAAAAAAACAAAAAGUAUCCUCAUAAUUUAUAGUCUCUAUCUCAACUAAAAAACUCCUAGUGUUGAGACUAUUAUUAACAAGCAGUAGCCAUAUGAACACAUGAAUAGAUAGACUAUCUAGAAAUUUAUAACUUGAAUAAACUUAAUAAGUGUCGGAACUUUCAAAUUUCUAUAUUUUUCUAUCUUUACUUUCAAAAAAAAAACUUAACAACACUCCACUCUCCGAUUAAACUUUCCCGUGUACAAGGUGAGGGAAUUAUAAGUAGCAGCGUGAGCUGCUACCAACUAGUUUUUCUUUUGAUUCAAAUUUUUCUCUGAUAAAGUUUGCAGACGCAUAUUAGUUUUAUUGAUUUGUUUUCUCAAAUUGCUCAUUCUUUUAUUUGUUCAAUUAUAAGAAUAAAAUUCCCUCAUUGGUUAUCUCAUCUAUGUUUCGUUCAUUGGUUAUCUCAUCUAUUAAUUUUUCUUUUCUUGCUUGGUCAUUACACUUUACAAAAAUAAAUGAUGCCAAUUUUACAUGUGUGAUGAGUCGAAUCUGCGUCUCUUCUAGGCUCAACAAAGUAAGACUUUUGGCAGGUAAGAAAUUAUCUCAAAUCGAACAAUAUCAACUCCUACAUUUCUAAUCACACGAACUACAGAACAAGCAUUAUAUUUUAUGAAAUAAAACUAGAAAAAAAUGCUUCAAUAUCCUCUUGAUAAAUGUUCAAAAGAACAUGUGUCUUGCAUUGCAAUUUGCGAGACGAAAUGUAUUAAGUACCAACCCUUCAUUUUCCUGUUGAAGAUGCCCGGUACAUUUGCAGAUAUGAAAGUCUCAACUAGGAGGGAAAGUUGCAUCAAUAGGAAAAGAGCUCAUCUGAACAACAAGGUCUUUCUUUUUAUUUUAAUAUAUAUAUAAAGCUUGGUGAUGCUGAUGGCACUUGUUCCAAAUUAAAAUAAGCUGAUGGCACUUGUUCCAAAUUAAAAUAAAGAGUUGCUGUUUUUUCUUUUAUCCUUUUGUACCAAAAAGAAAAGGAAAAAGAAAAGAUCUAAUUAAUAAUUGAUUAAAUAAAUGAAGUAGAUCAACUGGGGAUUUACUAGCUGGUGCAGGUUUCUAAGGCCUAAUGAAAUGGGAGAAUAAACAAAGACCCGACGACAAUAAUAAAAGAAGACCCUUCUAUAUCGAAGGGAAAGGAAGACGCAACCACUUGCCAUGUGUUGAAAGAGAAGGAAAGUUAGCUUUGAGGCUAACUAUAUAAUUAGCACCAAGUUCUUGCCAUCGCUCAGACAUUCUCAGCAGUCUUAUAUAUCAAGCUUGAGAGAGAGAAGUAAGGGAAUUAUAACGAGCACUGUGAGCUGCUACCACACAGUACCAUGUAAGUACUUCGUUGGAUCUUAUUGUUGCUCUCUUUUCUUGCUUCCAUCCAAUAAUAUCUUGGUUCUUGCCAAAUUCAUUAUCCUAAUGAAAAUUUGCGUAACAUGAGGAUCUUACCGCUUAAAAAUAAUGGAAAUAUUCCUGCAUCACUUAUUUAUUUAUUUAUUGAAAAUGAUGGAAUAGAUUCUUUAUCCGUCGAAAAACACAUCCAAAACUAAAUUACCAAACACGUUCUAAAUUACCAAAACUAAAUUACCAUAAGCUCUUCUCUCCAGCCAAGAGAUUGUCUCUAUAUUUUGGCUCAAUCACUUUAAUCCAUUCUUGUCGUGAGACUAAUCACAUGGCAGAUCACCUGGCUAAACAAGGAAUGCGCAUAACAAGUGAAUUUGUUGCUUGGAUUUGAACCAGCCAGAUGAUUUUUGGGUCUUCCUUUGCUUAGCUCUGCUUGUGGCUCUUGGUGAAGAUGGUUUGUUCUUUUAUAGUUUUUGAUUGUGUUGCAUUCUAAAGAGGUACUGGCUGGUUAUAGCAGGUGCUUGGUCUAAUGACCUCUAUUGAUUUGAUGUCGUCGGUGAUAGUUUUGGAUGUUUAGCUUGGCAGCUCUGUUUUUUGUGGAGGCAAACCUACAUACUAGUGCUGUUGCUCUGUUCUUGUGGUUUUUUGGCCUCUUCUUCUUCAUUUGGCUCUUUUGCUAUAUCUGUGUGUUUUUGGCUGUUGCUCUGUUCUUGUGGUUUUUUGGCAUCUUCUUCUUCUUUCGGCUCUUUUGCUAUAUCUGUGUGUUUUUGCGGAUUUGUAACUACUCAUUCCCGCCAUCUUUUGGCGUUUUAAUACACUUCACUAGUUCUCAAAAAAAUCUUACGAAUCAAGAAAUUUGCCCCGGUGAAUAAAACCCUGACACACUAAUAAGAGAAUAAAACAAAUGACCACAAAAAAAAAAAAAAACUUUGGCUCAAUAGAUCUUGGCAUCACCAGUAAUUUCUCUGAUUCUUACCCCACAUUAUACACAUAUUCUAACAUGACAACAACCAUUUCCCCAACUUCAAUUGUUGUUGAAGUCCUAAGAGGUGAUAACUAUGAUGAUUGGAGUGCCUGCAUGAAAAGCUAUAUGUUAGCUCAAGACCUCUGGCAUUUUAUCGAGCAUACUGGUCAUCAUGAAGGUGAUCAAGAAGUUGACUCUAAGCCUGUUGAUCAUCAAGAAGGUGACUCUAAGGCAUUGAGAAAAAAGAAUGCUGCAGCUUUACAUGCAAUUCAAAAUUCAUGUGCACCACACAUACUUUCCAAGAUUAGGAGCAUCACUUCAGCCAAAGUUGCCUGGGAUACUCUAGCCAAUUUGCAACGACAACAUUCACCAAGCCACAAAGAGCAAUCUGUUGAAGCAGAGACAGCAGAAGAUGAUGAGUCACAAGGUUCAGAGCAAUCUGUUGAAGCAGAGCCAGCAGAAGAUGAUGAGUCAUUCUCUUCCUUUGUUAGAUUUCCAAUAACUUCGAUCUCUUGAUGUUAACACGGGAGAGAAUAAAAACCUCGGCAGGAUCGGUGAAUGGUCCCUUGCUAACGCUGUACAAGUAUGCCUAUAAUGGAGACUGGGAUGCCAUAAAAACCCAUCUUAGCCGAAACCCAAAUGCAAGAAAGGCCAAGCUUGAACCCUAUGGUGGAACAGCCCUUCAUGUAGCAGCUUCUACUGGACAUCUGAGAGUUGUGGAGGAGUUGGUGAAAUUGAUGUCAGUAGAAGAAUUGGAAAUACAAGAUAAUCAAGGCAACAUAGCUCUUUUUAUUGCUGCCGUUGUUGGAAUAAGAAAGAUGGCAGAAUGUUUGGUGCUCAAAUGCUCGGUAAGAGACUUUACCCUUUAAUUAAUUACUUAUUUUCCCUUUUUUCUUCUUUUUCUUCAUGCUUUUUGCAUAAAUUAAUUUUCUCUUCCGAGUAAAUUAUUAUUUAUUUCCUUUAAUUUAAUAAAAAUAAUUCAUUAAUAUGUUUUUAAGAAAUAUAUGAAUAAUCCUUUUGUUUUUAACUUCAAAUCAUUUUGUCAAUUUCAUGUGAUUUUUUAAUUAAUUAUUUCUUCUUCUUCUUUUUAAAUAAUAGAAAAGGGAAGGAAAAUCAGGUAAGAUGGGAAAUUAAUGUAAUACUAAAUUGAUACGAAACAAAAUGACUUGUAAUUUAUUAACAUUUCAAAACACUAAAACCUCAUCUUUCUUGUUGCUUCUUAUGCUGUUUCUUUUUGCUAUUGCAAUACCAGAUAUUGUUCUUGAUUUUCUGCGUCGCUUCCCAUAUCUGGCUACUACAAAGGAUGAAGUUCUGAGGACGAACGCUUUGUUUGGUUUGUCUAACAUGCCUGAAACAUUUUGGCAGCAAUGGAUCUAUUCAUGUUAGUAUCUCUUCCUUCGAUUUUUCCUCCUCCCGUUUCUCUUCAUUUCCUCUGCCAAUCUUUUUUACGUAUAAUGUUCUGUAUGUUUUUGGAGAUCAUCACUCCGUCACAAAGAAAGAAAAGCGGAAGGUUCUAUUUGAUAUAAUUUUUGUAAAUUGAUAUGAGUUCUUUUUUAAUUUUUGACCCGUAGAAAAAUUGUAAAUAUAUUUAGUUAAAAAUGAUUUUUGGUUUACAAAACUGAAUCAAAAUUUUAAUGUCAUCUAAAGUUUAGGAAAAAAUUAAACUUUAAUUGCUGGGUUUCAACUUAUAAUAUAUCUAUUUUUUAAAAGAAUUACUUUACAUUAUUUCUAUCAAACAUAUUUCUAAAAUAAAAUUAUUUGAACUCAUUUUAUAUAUAUAUAUAAAUGAUCUAUAUAAAAAAAAACUUUUUAAAUUAUGAUUCAUGUUAAAAAAUCAUUUUUUUCAUAAGUUAUGAUAGACAACUUGAAAUUAUAAAUACAGUUUGGGAAUGCGGUGCAAACCAUGUUAUUAAAAAAAUAAUAUUUUUUUUAUUAAAAUUUAAUGUGUUUUGUACUUUUUGGAUCAUUUUGAUGUGCUGAUGUCAAAAAUAAUUUUUAAAAAAUAAAAAAAAAAUAUCAUUGACAUGUAUUUCGACAUAAAAAAUUAUUUAAAAAACAACCGCUAUCACAAAAGAUUCUCAUAUUCACUAAGAUUGACUCGAUUCUAAAAUCAUGGCAGGUAUUCCCAUGCAACCAAUUGCUACAACUGAUGACAAUGUUCAUAUUAAUAUGCCUGAUCAAAGCCUAAGUGAGUCGAAGAACAUUAUCCUCCAAGGUAUUUGCACAAAUCUCUCUCUGUUUUUGUUCCCUUUCCUUUAAUGUAAGGUAGGGCAAGCACAGGACAUGUAUAGGAGUCCAAUUGGGCUGCAUGGCCCUUCAAGAUUGUAAAAAUUUUGGACAGUUUCUUGAUAUAUUUAUUUCUAUUUUCCAAAAAUAUAAACUUUUUAGAACCCUAAUCCUAGUAUCCGAUCCUUUAUUCAAUCCCAAAUCCGAUAAAUCUCAUUUUUAUAUAUAUAUAUAUAUAUAAUUAGUUGGUCCACGCAUCGUGUCGGCAUAAAACAUUUUUCAUACUAAGUUAAUGUACAAAACUUUUAGUUACAUUCAAAACUUAAAUUUAGCUGCUUGUGAUAAUUUCUCUAAUUUGUUUUUGUCCAACUUUUCAGUGUCAAGCAAAUUGCGUGGGUUUGCAAUAAAUCUCCUCGCAUUCUUAGGUAAGCAAAAUAUAUCUGACAUGGCUUAAUUUCUAUCAUCAUUAUCAUGGUUUUAUCUGAUCACUCUUUAAUGGUUGAUCCAGGAAUCAAGCAAAUAUACGAUUUGAAGAAGAUCCACAUUUACUCAGAUAAAAUUCUACUGUGUAUGUGUGAGUAUAUAUCAACUCUGGAUUUUGAGGAAUACGUCAAAGCAGAUGUACAUGGAGCAUUCCACAAUGCUGUAAAGAAUGGCAUGGUUGAGUGUAUUACUGAGGUGAUUAAAGCUUGUCCUCAGUUAAUGAUGAGUGGAGAUGUCAACUCAAGGAACCUAUUUAUGUCCUCGAUUGCAAACCGGCAAGAAAAAGUGUUUAGCCUUUUCUAUGGACUGGAAGCAUGCAGAGCACUAUUUGUUUCCCUCAUAGACAGCAAAACUAUCACCUCCUUCUCAACUAGCUCGGAUCUCUGGUGCAGCUCUCCAGAUGCAGAGAGAACUACAAUGGUACAAGGUGAGCUUUCUACACUCAACAUCUUUAAAAAAAAUGAUUGAACCUUGAUCAAAGAUAUUUUAGAACUGAUUAAGACCUAAUUGAUUUGAAUCUAGGCUACCCAUUUACACAUUUUCAUUGUUAUCCAAAAAGAAAUAAUUUCACUCGAAUUCAAAAAUCUUGAUGCAGGAAGUGGAAAGCAUUACGAAUCCUACACACAAGGAUAUUCGUAAUGAGAACAAUCAGACAGCCAGGGAAUUAUUUACGUCUGAGCAUAAGGACUUGGUAGUGAAAGGAGAGCAAUGGAUGAAAGAAGCAGCAACUUCUUGUACAGUUGUGGGUGCUCUCAUCAUUACAAUUAUGUUUACUGCUGCAUUUACUGUUCCCGGUGGCAACGAUCAAGAGACCGGCUAUCCGGUUUUUAAAGAUGAGAAAUCUUUUACAGUUUUUAUAGUAGCGGAUGCAAUCUCUCUCUUUUCUUCAUCAACAUCAGUGUUGAUGUUCUUAGGAAUUCUUACGUCGCGAUACGCAGAGGAAGAUUUCCUUAAGUCCUUGCCCACGAAGUUGAUCAUCGGCCUUUCCAUGCUUUUCUUCUCUAUUGCAGCAAUGAUGGUAACCUUCUGUGCUGCUCUUAUAAUUAUGUUGGAUGGGAGAUUGCAAGUUAUAAUUCCAAUUGUACUCCUUGUCUCUAUCCCUGUAACUUUGUUCAUGUUGCUGCAAUUUCCCCUGCUAGUGGAGAUUUUUGUAUCCACAUAUGGACCAGGAAUCUUCAACAGAAAAAUGAAACGCUGGUAUCUUCAAUCUGUUUAGAAAUUCCUAUUUCCCCGGGACUAGUUGUUUUCUGUUCCUCUUAGUCUGUUUAGAGUAUGUAUAGCGCGUGGGUUGUUUUUUUGAGUGCUGCAUCUCUUUGUAAAAGGCUAUAUUUCCAAGCCUGCUGUAGUUUCUUCUGAUUGUUUUUCUACAAAUAGAAAGGUUAACCAAUUCCUUCGUUCUCUCUGAUCAUGCAUUUGGCCAUCUUGGUGAUUCCUUCCAUAGCUGUGCAGCAGCCACAAUUAUCUUCUCUUUCCAAGUCUUUGGGUGACAUUAAUAUUACCAUCUUUUAUAGUUGUGGAGCACUACUAAAUAAAUUUUAACAAAAAAAUAGGUUUUAAAAGUCUAACAAAAUAAUAUGCUAAUAAAUUAUAAAUUUAAAAAAAUAAAUAAUAAGUGGGUAAGUUUAAUAACUUAGUGAACUCAUUUUUUCUUUUUUUUCCCUCAAAUUUCUCUUUAUUUCCUCUAUUCAAAACAUAUAAUGUUCUAUGUGUUGGAGAUUAUCACAUCAUAAUUGAUAUACAUUUAGAGAGAAAAAAGAAAAAAAAAUCAUUUGACCGCUAUUUGUUAUAGGUCGAAUAUUAUUUUUUAUCAAUAAAAAAAUAGAACAUUUAAAAUUUUUAAAUGUAUUUUCUUUUCAUAAAAAGAUUUUUAAAAAACUUAUGUACGUGUGAGGAACACAAAGGGGCAGAUGUCCAUGUGAUUAGAGUUUGUCGUCAUGCAAUGAUUAGUGUCGAUGAAAAGUCAAGAAACCUAUUUGUGUCCUCAGUACCGUGUCGGCAAGAAAAAGUGUUCAGCCUUUUGUAUGGACUUGAAGCAAUCAGAGCAUGAUUCGUUCUUUACCUUUGUGGAUAGCUCACGAGAUACAAUGCUUCAUUUGGCAGCAAAGUUGAUUGGACCUUAUUUGCAAAUAAUUUUAUUUUUUCUAUAUAGUACAUGAAAUCAAUCCUAAUUACAUAUAUAUAACUUCAUAGUUAAUUUAACUAUAUUCAAUCAAACCUGGGGAAUUUAUAAUAAUUUAAUAUUUUAGCGGAUCGCAUAUCCAGUUGUCACCCAUCCGCAGAUGCCUUUUGACCUGAAUGUUGAAUUACGAGGUGGGGCGUUUAUGGAUGCCAAUGAGAUGAAAUGAAAGGCGGAGAGUGCUGGAUACUUGAUAGUCUUUGUUUCGAACUGUAGGGAACACCAUAGCAAGAACAAAAACAUACCUUCACCAAGUUCUUGCCGUCACCCAGACAUUCUCAGCAGUCUGGUCAAGCUUGAGAGAGAGAAGUAAGGGAAAUUAUAAGUGGCUCUGUGAACUGCUACCACACCAUGUAAGUAUUUCAUUGGGUCUUGUUGUUGCUCUGCUCUCUGGCUUUCAUCCGAUGAUAUCUUGGUUCUUGGCUAUCCAGUUUUUCCCCACUCUUUAAUGAUGCAGUGAGUUGCAUGAAGCAAAUUCGAAGCCCUAAAGAAGAUCUGCAUAGCAUGAAGAUCUUACCACUUAGAAAUAAUGGAAAUAUCAUUGCAUCAGUAAUUUACUUAUUUAUUGAAAAUGAUGUAAAAGUACGCAAAAACACCAUUUUCAUGCUUCAUCGGUAGAAAAGAACUUCCAGAAAUACAUCAUGAAAUACACUCUAACGUGAUCCAGUUAUGUAACCCGUCAAUUUUGUACUGAAAAAGUUAGGGCAGAUAUUACUGCUUUUUAAAGGUGUAGAGCAGCUCCGUUUAUGGUUUGCCAUCAAUUAAUAUUAUUAUUUUUCUUAAUCUUAAGAACCAAGAAAAUUGAUGGUUUGCUUAUGGUUUGCCAUUGGCUCGGUAGAUCUUGGCAUCGCUAGUUUUUCUGAUCCUUAACCCCACGCUGUACACAGAUUCUUACAUGACGACGACAAACAAUUUGCAGCAACAACAAGAUUCACCAAGCCACGAAGAGCAAUUUGUUGAAGCAGAGUCGUCAGAGUCAUCACAAGGUUCAGGUAUACCGUGACCUCAUUCUCUUCCUCUGUUAGAUUUCCAACCACUUCGACCUCUUGAUGCUAACACGGGAGAGAAUAAAAACCUUGGCAGGAGCGGUGAGCAAUGAAAUGAAUGGUCCCUUGCUAACCCUGUACAAGUAUGCCCAUAAUGGGGACUGGGAUGCCAUAAAAACCUAUCUUAGCCAUUACCCAAAUGCAAGAAAGGCCAUGAUUAAACCCUAUGGUGGAACAGCCCUUCAUGUAGCAGCUUUUUCUGGACAUCUGAGAGUUGUGGAGGAGUUGGUGAAGUUGAUGUCAGUAGAAGAAUUGGAAAUACAAGAUCAUCAAGGCAACACAGGUCUUUCUAGUGCUGCCUUUGUUGGAAAAAGAAAGAUGGCAGAAUGUUUGGUGAGAAAGAACAAACACUUGGUUACCUUUGUAAAUGCACAAAAAAAGAUCCCGCUGGUUCAGGCAUGUAUAAGCAACUGUAAGGAUAUGGCUCUUUAUCUAUACUCUGUCACUCCAUUUGAAUUUCUUUGUCAAGGCAAUGGCCACCAUGGAUCUUAUUUCCUACAAUGUGCUAUUGGUGCUCAAAUGCUCGGUAAGAGACUUUACCCCUUAAUUACUUAUCUUCAUUCUUCUCUCUUUUUAUUCAUGCUCUGUUCGUAAGUCUUCCCUUUCUUUAUUUCCCCUGGUAAAUUAUUAUUUAUUUCCUGUAAUUUAAUAAAACUAAUCAAUCAAUCAAUCAUUAUGGUUUUAAAGAGUACAUGAAUCUUAAAAUCUGUUUAUGGCUUAAAAAGGUAAUAAAUUGAGAAUGGUCGAUGUUGGUCAAGGGAUUAUUGAAUAAUUUUUAACACUAAAGGGACUGAUUGGCUAAUAACUCUAAACUAUAGGGACUAGUUUGUAAUUUACUCUUAAUUCCUCCUCCUUUUUUUUUUCCUUUUCUUCUUAUAAUAGAUUUUCCCAUGCAAGCAAAUGUGAUAGACUUCACGUUAGUUAUUGAGGGAUUAUCCACUUUUUGUGUGAGAAAUUUACACUUGAUGGUACAUAGAAAUUAGCUAAUUCAUAAACAAAAAUGAGAGAGAGCUUGAUUUCAGAUGGCUUCAUAUGAAACAAAAUGACUUUUAAAUUAAUUUGUUAACAUUUCAAAAUUAGCACUAAAUUAACCUCAUCUCUUCUUGUUCCUUCUUG